rnacentral:lncRNA from 1 species
UCAAGACUUAUUGACUUGGAAUCGAUUUGAUGUCAUUUUAUUGUUGACAUGUUGCGACAUCUAUCGAAUUUUGACUGGCAAUGAAGCGCUUUCGUGAAUCGUAGGAGAAUUAUCCAUGAAAUGCGUGUCAUUUCUCAUUAUCAUGGUGUAGCGAUUCACCCGUUAUAAUCGAUUUGGCGUGAUUUUGGUUAAACUGACGUCAUAGAAAGUUUAGCCGCGGUGGUGGAGCAAGCCGCGUACAACCCGUCAAGCAAUACGAACUUGAACAUUGUUCCCAAAGUGAAAUCAGUGAAGUUUGGAACAAGCGAAAAAAAAAAAUACUAAAAAAUAACCUAAAAACAUCAAUAGCAUUGCUGACAUUUUAUUUGUAUAAAUGUUUAAUACAUUUCAAAUGAGGGUUGAAAAAGUUGAAAAUACUAAACAUGUGUUGAGUGGUUGGUUAUACUUGACUGAUAUGAGCCCACAACUGAACGACUGUGAACGAUAGAUAGAGAGUAGGCUGGCUGUAGGUAAUGCUUGUUCGAUGAACCAAUGCUUCUGGUGUGUUAGAGGCACAUUGAGAAAUACUGGGAUGUAUAUGAGAGGAUUGCAAAAGCAGCAGAGACGAUACGUACGCAUGUCGUGGGGCUUGGAAGGACAAGGACCGAUAGUGAGGCCAUCAGGAAGGAGGGAACAGCAGCCAGGAGUUGAUUGCGUCCGGCCGAGAUGAUUGCUUUUCGCGUGGCAAUUCGCACACACGGUCACAUGUUGGUUACUUCUCGCACACUGAGGCACGGAUUACAGGCUCAUAUACACGCGACACGGCAUGUACCCGAGUCCACUGUUUAUUCGUCUGGACCUGUGGUUACCUUCUAUUGCUGGAAAAUUACCUUCAUUUCUGCUAACGGCAACUAUAUACACCAAUGAAUCUGCUGCGAAAACUACUGGUGAAAUUCAAUCGCUAUGACGAAAUAACAAAAAGAUUGAUUGUACGAUAGAGUAUGAAAUAAAAAGUUAUUCAACUCAAUGGUUUUUGUCUUUGCAUUAACACCACUGCUGUUCAACUUAUUGCACUAGUGUUGCGAAAAAAUGCUUUUUUCAUGAGAUAAAGAAAAAAUGUAUUUUAUGCAGUUUAUGAAUUUCAACUUGGAUAAAAAAUUAUUUAAUAAAAGCAAGAACUGUAUUUAUGAACGCCUUGAAUAUUUUAGAGACAAUAGAGCAUAAAGCUAUGUCAUAUUAUUUUCGUUGUCCAACGGAAUUAAUUAUUCUGCUUGAACUAAUGUUCAAAAUAUACCAUUAAAGUUGGAGUUAAAUAGAUAAAUUAAUAUUUUUUUGUAUAUUAUUUUUGAUGGGUUGUCAAAUGAAUAUACUGGUGAAAGUUAUAAUAUUAUUCCUAGUUAAUGAAGGAAUUAAAUAUUAAGUUGAGUUGAUAAAUUAAUUUGAAAGAUGUAAAAUAAUUUAAAAUCUCUAUUACUACUUCGUUACACAAUUAAAAUCAUUUAAUUUAAUGUUGAGAUAGGACCAAGGUAAAAAUUUAAGGUCAGAUUUUAAUAUAAUUCACAUGAGAUUCACAUCUUAAUUAUUUUUUUUGGUUAUUUAAGCAAAUAAAAGCUUCAAGGGAAGCUUAUUAAAGCUCUUCAGAAAUAUACAACAUUAA